GAAAUAUUAAAGCAUUUUGAACCAUCAAUUAUCAUCCACAUUGAUGCAAAAUUUGGAAACUUCAGCUUGUUGUCAACAGUUGUUAAUAAACUAAUUACCCACCUAUUGGUCUAUACAACCAAAACAGCUACUCAGUACACCAUCCAUGGAAUCCUAAACAUGCUUGAAUGGUUGUCAACUUGUCAUCCUCCUCCUUAACACAGACACCUUAUCUUCACAUGAAGCCCUUAUUUACACAGAAUCUGCAGGUAACACAUUUCUCAGAUGCCUCCCAUUAAAGAAGAAAGCUCAUCAAAGGACCAAAGGUCCAUAGCAUUUUCAACACCCUGAGUAGCAUCAGCAUCGAGGAAGGCAUCGACUGGUACAUCCAUAUUUCCUUCUGAGUAUGGUGUCUGAUAGAACUUCAACUGGGAUUCAAAAGUUGAAAAUACUUCAGGUGGCUUGUGUUCAGUGUUCACAUUAUUAGGCACCAAAUUGUUGGUACAAGAUUUUGGUUUCUCCUCCAGGUCGACACCUUCAAUAAAUUGAGCUUCAUCGCAUUCUAUAGCAGCUGACAGAACAGAUGAU
rnacentral:misc_RNA from 1 species